rnacentral:rRNA from 1 species
GACGAACGCUGGCGGCGUGCCUAAUACAUGCAAGUAGAACGAGUUACGAACGGGUAAGUAACGCGUAGGUAACUGCCUCAUAGCGGGGGAUAACUAUUGGAAACGAUAUCUAAUAUCGCAUACUGUGAUAUGGACCUGCGUUGUAUUGGCUAGUUGGUGAGGUAAAGGCUCACCAAGGCGACGAUACAUAGCCGACCUGAGAGGGUGAUCGGCCACACUGGGAAUGAGAAACGGCCCAGGAUCCUACGGGGGGCAACAGUAGGGAAUCUUCGGAAAUGGACGGAAGUCUGACCGCACAACGCCGGGGGGGUGAAGAAGGUUUUCGGAUCGUAAAGCUCUGUUGUGAGAGAAGCGGUAACUACCCAGAAAGGGACGGCUAACUACGUGCCAGCAGCCGCGGUAAUAC